UACGUGAGUCCCAAGCGUUACUCGGAAUUAUUGGGUGUAAAGGGUCCGUAGGUGGAGAAAUAAGUCAGGUAUGAAAGACCGAAGCUCAACUUCGUGUUUGUGCUUGAAACUAUUUUUCUAGAAUCAGGGAGAGGUUAGCGGAAUUCUAAGUGUAGGGGUGCAAUCCGUAGAUACUUAGAAGAACACCAAAAGCGAAGGCAGCUAACUGGAACUGUAUUGACACUGAGGGACGAAAGCGUGGGGAGCAAAAAGG
rnacentral:rRNA from 1 species